rnacentral:rRNA from 1 species
AGCGGCGGAUGGGUGAGUAACACGUGGGGAACCUGCCCCUAAGUCUGGGAUACCAUUUGGAAACAGGUGCUAAUACCGGAUAAUAAAGCAGAUCGCAUGAUCAGCUUUUGAAAGGCGGCGUAAGCUGUCGCUAAGGGAUGGCCCCGCGGUGCAUUAGCUAGUUGGUAAGGUAACGGCUUACCAAGGCGACGAUGCAUAGCCGAGUUGAGAGACAGAUCGGCCACAUUGGGACUGAGACACGGCCCAAACUCCUACGGGAGGCAGCAGUAGGGAAUCUUCCACAAUGGACGCAAGUCUGAUGGAGCAACGCCGCGUGAGUGAAGAAGGUUUUCGGAUCGUAAAGCUCUGUUGUUGGUGAAGAAGGAUAGAGGUAGUAACUGGCCUUUAUUUGACGGUAAUCAACCAGAAAGUCACGGCUAACUACGUGCCAGCAGCCGCGGUAAUACGUAGGUGGCAAGCGUUGUCCGGAUUUAUUGGGCGUAAAGCGAGCGCAGGCGGAAAAAUAAGUCUAAUGUGAAAGCCCUCGGCUUAACCGAGGAACUGCAUCGGAAACUGUUUUUCUUGAGUGCAGAAGAGGAGAGUGGAACUCCAUGCGUAGCGGUGGAAUGCGUAGAUAUAUGGAAGAACACCAGUGGCGAAGGCGGCUCUCUGGUCUGCAACUGACGCUGGGGCUCGAAAGCAUGGGUAGCGAACAGGAUUAGAUACCCUGGUAGUCCAUGCCGUAAACGAUGAGUGCUAAGUGU